GAUAAAAUAGAUGAGUCGCUUUUUGUCUGUCUCAUAUAACAUUGCAGUUCCACGAUGGUCCCAAAAACAAAAUGUUUUCUUCUUUGUUACAUGUGCAUUAACACGUACAGGAGUGGCAAGAGAAUCAGAGAAAGAGCAGGUCCUCCUGCAAGAGAAGAUGAAGGCUGUGAUGGUGAAAUGAAUGGAGCCCCAUCCGGCGUCUCGAUAUCUGUUACACUGUCACUUGGAGGUCGUACAUGAGCAAAAAUCACAGCCGGCAGAGGAGAUGCAGGACGCAUAUGUGGUGCUGCAGAUGGUGGGCUCUUAAUAAGAUGUGAGGCAGAUGAAUGGUGUGGUGAAGGCACUGGAGCAGCGCUUGAAACCAC
rnacentral:misc_RNA from 1 species